rnacentral:tRNA from 1 species
AGAAAAAUAAAUUAAAUUUGGGUAUAGUAAUAAUUUUAUUAAAAAUUAAUUUUAUA